rnacentral:rRNA from 1 species
AACGCUGGCGGCGUGCCUAACACAUGCAAGUCGAACGAGAAAGUGGAGCUAUCCAUGAGUAAAGUGGCGACCGGGUGAGUAACACGUGACUAACCUACCUUCGAGUGGGGAAUAACAUCGGGAAACCGAUGCUAAUACCGCAUAACAUCUCAAGAUCAAAGCAGCAAUGCGCUUGAGGAGGGGGUCGCGGCUGAUUAGCUAGUUGGUAGGGUAAUGGCCUACCAAGGCUUAGAUCGGUAGCCGGCCUGAUAGGGCGCACGGCCACACUGGAACUGAAACACGGUCCAGACUCCUACGGGUGGCAGCAGUGGGGAAUUUUGCGCAAUGGGGGAAACCCUGACGCAGCAACUCCGCGUGGAGGAUGAAGUCCCUUGGGACGUAAACUCCUUUCGACCGGGAUGAUACUGACGGUACCGGAAGAAGAAGCACCGGCUAACUCUGUGCCAGCAUCCGCGGUAAUU